AAACCAACAGGGAUUGCCUUAGUAACGGCGAGUGAAGCGGCAAAAGCUCAAAUUUGAAAUCUGGCCGCAAGGUCCGAGUUGUAAUUUGAAGAAGGUAACUUUUGAGAUUAUCUUUACUUAAGUUCCUUGGAAUAGGACGUCAUAGAGGGUGAGAAUCCCGUUCUGUGAAGUAAUAGUCUCUUGUAAAGUGCUUUCGAAGAGUCGAGUUGUUUGGGAAUGCAGCUCUAAGUGGGUGGUAAAUUCCAUCUAAAGCUAAAUAUUGGCGAGAGACCGAUAGUGAACAAGUACAGUGAUGGAAAGAUGAAAAGAACUUUGAAAAGAGAGUGAAAAAGUACGUGAAAUUGUUGAAAGGGAAGGGUUUUAGGGGAGACUUGGGAUUUAAUGAUCAGCCUUCUUUCGGGGAGGUGUACUCGUUAUUUUCUGGGCCAGUAUGGGUUUAGACAGCGGGAUAAAAGUUUAAGAAUGUGGCCACUUUUUGUGGUGUUAUAGCUUAUUCCAAUACCGCUUGGCUGGACCAAGGAACGCGAUUCUAGGAUACUGGCGUAAUCCCCUUAAACCAC
rnacentral:rRNA from 1 species